CUACAUUUAUGCAUGCAAGGCAAGUGUUUCAAUUUACACUAAUAAUUUACAAUAAUAUAUAUUUAAUGAUUCGACUAUAAAAUAAAUGUGGACCUCUAGCUUAAAACAGACCAAAUGCUUACAUGUUUAUGGUCUAUUUCUUCUCUCUUUACAUGUCAACUAAUGUAUCAAAAGUAAAUCUAAAAAGGAAACAAAAACCAAUAAGGCAUAUUAGGAGACUUUUGGCCAAAGGAAUGUCAUCGGAGACCUUAAACAUGAAAAGGCUACCAAACUUCAGAAAACGUAUUUGUCUUCACUCCUUUUCUUCAUCACUGACUGAGUAGAAUGUUGAGGAUUUUUCUGCAUUAAAACUAUAUAUAUAACAGAUAUUUAUAAACACCAUUUUCCUUACAACCUUGCAUAUCAUAUUAGCAAACAAAUUUCUUCAUCCAUCAUUAGUAAAUUUUAUUUCAAUAAAGCACAUUUCCUUGUUAUCCAUUCUGACAGAAGCAUUCCAAAGACAAUUACAUAUCAGCCACCAAAACAAAUCUGAAACUGAAAGUAAAAAUCAUCAACAUAAAAAGCAAGAGAUUGACCGCCAUUGAUACCUUUCUCGUUCUUGAAUAAUUGAGGAGAGGGCGAUCAAGAUGUGACCUAAAAAUUGGAAAAAGCGUCAUGCAGAAGCUCAUAAUUUUACAGGUAGAGUUCUGCAGCACUUGACAACCUCUUUAAGCCUUGUUUGCUCACCGGAGUUUCAAUCACAUCUGUAUUGCUUGAAAAAUCACCAUAUUACAAUGCUCCGAUAACCAAAUAUUAUCAGAAAAAUAUACAUAUAUACAUGCCUAAAUACAAACGAAAAUAAUGGGUUAUAGCACAGGUAUUACCACUAUCGGAUCCUUAGCAGACUCACUACAAAGUAGCAAACAUUUUCAAUUUGAUCUCCAAAAUUCUGAACCGAACAUUGUAGGUAGCAUAACAG
rnacentral:lncRNA from 1 species